UACCUGCAGCUCAAGUGGUGACCACUAUUAUUGGGCCUAAAACGUUCGUAGCCGGUUUAUUAAAUGCUUGGGUAAAUCGUGUAGCUUAACUAUACGAAUUCCGGGUAGACUGAUAGACUUGAGACCGGGAGAAGCUAGAGGUACUCCUGGGGUAGAGGUGAAACUCUGUAAUCCUGGGGGGACCACCAGUGGCGAAGGCGUCUAGCUAGAACGGGUCUGACGGUGAGGAACGAAGCCCUGGGGCGCAAACCGGAUUAGAUACCCGGGUAGUCCAGGGUGUAAACGCUGCUUGCUUGAUGUUAGUUGGGCUCCGAGCCCAAUUAGUGUCGGAGAGAAGUUGUUAAGCAAGCUGCCUGGGAAGUACGAUCGCAAGAUUGAAACUUAAAGGAAUUGGCGGGGGAGCACAGCAACGGGUGGAGCGUGCGGUUU
rnacentral:rRNA from 1 species